AAAAUGUGCCAUUUCAUUUUGUGUCAGUUUGCAGCAUUAACCUCCACUAGAGUCGACCACUUCGCUUUAAAUCUUUAAGGACUGCCUCAAACAACAGGAAAUAUGGCACAUGACAUAGUCAGCCAAUUCAAGUCAGGUCACUCACAAUACUGAAACCACUCUCUUCACCAACAGCAUGAAAUCAUCUUUAAGCAAAAGUCUCCAACCACCAAAGGAGAGUUGACCUCUGCUGCAACAAGUAAUUAAUUUUAAUAUACAAUUAAAGUUGGUGCAAAUACUCCAUAAAGCGACAUAAAAGCUGAAACUUGCACAGCCAGCGGGAGGUCUGAAGCCUCAUGAAAUUGUCCUCAAACACUGACUGGACACAGCCAAAACCUGAACUAAUGCAUACUUCAUGCAAGCAGAAAGUAAACUCUUACCUUGUUGUUGCAGUGAUCAUGUGCGUCACAAAACGACCAUUUCAAAAGUCGCAGGAAGCCCCAAGCGGGAGACAGCAGGACGGAAAAAAAACACUUCAAGUUUGAGGUCCUCAGCUGAUAUGAACCCUUUCGGUAUGUAGCAUAACGUUAAAUACAAAAAAAAAAAUUCAUGGAGAAUGGCUGUGCAGCAAACAAAGAUCCUCAAAGGUCCUGAAGUCACAUGAUGGACAUGUUGACAGGACAAGGAUGUGAACAGAUUGCGGAGCUGCUGUGGAAAUUUCUCCUACUUUUUUCCCACUGCCCUGGAGGUCAGAUUCCAGGUUGAGGUACAGGACAGGUCCUCAACACUGCAGAGUUCAUUGUGGGCUAUCGUUCAUUGUACAGUUUCCUUUUCUAACUUAAUCAUUCAUUAAAGGUACUGGUUUUACAAUCAAAAUGCAUCUAAAAAGCCUUAAUUGUAACAACAUUUCAAUCAUAAUCACAAUCUAAAUAAUUAUUUUUAUUCAGUUAUAAUAAACAUACUAUCUUACCAACAAGGAAAGUGAAGAGUUCCCACCUAUAACAACUCCCAGUCCUUUUAAUUCUAUUGCGGCAUACCAAACAUAUGAAGACAUCUAAAACGCUCUCUCUCCACGUCUUAGUUGAACAGAUUAAUUUUGUCAUCUGUGACAUUCACAAGUCAUAUUGUGCAGUUUACUGAGCUCUUUGCAUGGCAGAUGUCUCAUGCAAUCCUGAUAUAAUCUGGCAUUAAGG